rnacentral:tRNA from 1 species
UCCCUGGUGGUCUAGGGGUUGGGGUUUCAGGCUUUCACUGAUGUGCCCCAGGUUCAAUCCCUGGUCAGGGAA